AAUCAACGCUGGCGGCGUGCCUCAGACAUGCAAGUCGAACGAUUAAAGCUCUCUUCGGAGAGUGUAUAGAGUGGCGCACGGGUGAGUAACACGUAAGUAAUCUACCUUUGAGUGGGGAAUAACCCGGGGAAACCCGAGCUAAUACCGCAUAAUGCAGCGGCAUCGCAAGAUGACAGUUGUUAAAGGAGCAAUCCGCUUAAAGAGGAGCUUGCGGCAGAUUAGCUAGUUGGUAAGGUAAUGGCUUACCAAGGCUACGAUCUGUAUCCGGUCUAAGAGGACGGUCGGACACACUGACACUGAAUAACGGGUCAGACUCCUACGGGAGGCAGCAGUCGGGAAUUUUGGGCAAUGGGCGAAAGCCUGACCAGCAACGCCGCGUGAAGGAUGAAGUA
rnacentral:rRNA from 1 species